rnacentral:rRNA from 1 species
UGAACGCUGGCGGCGUGCCUAACACAUGCAAGUCGAGCGAUUCUCUUCGGAGAAGAGCGGCGGACGGGUGAGUAACGCGUGGGUAACCUGCCCUGUACACACGGAUAACAUACCGAAAGGUAUGCUAAUACGGGAUAAUAUAAGAAAUUCGCAUGUUUUUCUUAUCAAAGCUCCGGCGGUACAGGAUGGACCCGCGUCUGAUUAGCUAGUUGGUGAGGUAACGGCUCACCAAGGCGACGAUCAGUAGCCGACCUGAGAGGGUGAUCGGCCACAUUGGAACUGAGACACGGUCCAAACUCCUACGGGAGGCAGCAGUGGGGAAUAUUGCACAAUGGGCGAAAGCCUGAUGCAGCAACGCCGCGUGAGCGAUGAAGGCCUUCGGGUCGUAAAGCUCUGUCCUCAAGGAAGAUAAUGACGGUACUUGAGGAGGAAGCCCCGGCUAACUACGUGCCAGCAGCCGCGGUAAUACGUAGGGGGCUAGCGUUAUCCGGAUUUACUGGGCGUAAAGGGUGCGUAGGCGGUCUUUUAAGUCAGGAGUGAAAGGCUACGGCUCAACCGUAGUAAGCUCUUGAAACUGGAGGACUUGAGUGCAGGAGAGGAGAGUGGAAUUCCUAGUGUAGCGGUGAAAUGCGUAGAUAUUAGGAGGAACACCAGUAGCGAAGGCGGCUCUCUGGACUGUAACUGACGCUGAGGCACGAAAGCGUGGGGAGCAAACAGGAUUAGAUACCCUGGUAGUCCACGCCGUAAACGAUGAGUACUAGCUGUCGGAGGUUACCCCCUCGGUGGCGCAGCUAACGCAUUAAGUACUCCGCCUGGGGAGUACGCUCGCAGGAGUGAAACUCAAAGGAAUUGACGGGGACCCGCACAAGUAGCGGAGCAUGUGGUUUAAUUCGAAGCAACGCGAAGAACCUUACCUAAGCUUGACAUCCUUUUGACCGAUGCCUAAUCGCAUCUUUCCCUUCGGGGACAGAAGUGACAGGUGGUGCAUGGUUGUCGUCAGCUCGUGUCGUGAGAUGUUGGGUUAAGUCCCGCAACGAGCGCAACCCUUGCCUUUAGUUGCCAUCAUUAAGUUGGGCACUCUAGAGGGACUGCCAGGGAUAACCUGGAGGAAGGUGGGGAUGACGUCAAAUCAUCAUGCCCCUUAUGCUUAGGGCUACACACGUGCUACAAUGGGUGGUACAGAGGGCAGCGAAGUCGUGAGGCCAGGCUAAUCCCUUAAAGCCAUUCUCAGUUCGGAUUGUAGGCUGAAACUCGCCUACAUGAAGCUGGAGUUACUAGUAAUCGCAGAUCAGAAUGCUGCGGUGAAUGCGUUCCCGGGUCUUGUACACACCGCCCGUCACACCAUGGGAGUUGGGGGCGCCCGAAGCCGGCUAGCUAACCUUUUGGAAGCGGUCGUCGAAGGUGAAACCAAUAACUGGGGUGAA